rnacentral:rRNA from 1 species
GACGAACGCUGGCGGCGUGCUUAACACAUGCAAGUCGAACGAAGUGGCGAACGGGUGAGUAACGCGUAAUCAACCUGCCCUUCAGAGGGGGACAACAGGUGAACACGACUGAUAAUGCCGCAUCCUGAAGGAGGGGAUGGCGUCGGAUUAGCUAGUGGGGGGGGGAACGGCCCACCACGGCGAUGAUCAGUAGCCGGUCUGAGAGGAUGAACGGCCACAUUGGGACUGAGACACGGCCCAGACUCCUACGGGAGGCAGCAUGUGGGAAUCUUCCGCAAUUGACGAAAGUCUGACGGGGCAACGCCGCGGGAGUGAUGACGGCCUUCGGGUUGUAAAGCUUUGUUAAUCGGGACGCGGUACCGGAAUAGAAAGCCACGGCUAACUACGUGCCAGCAGCCGCGGUAAUAC